rnacentral:rRNA from 1 species
UACGUAGGGGGGCAAGCGUUGUCCGGAUUUAUUGGGCGUAAAGAGCGUGUAGGCGGCCACACAGGUCUGCUGUGAAAACCCGAGGCUCAACCUCGGGCCUGCAGUGGGUACGGGGCAGACUAGAGUGCGGUAGGGGAGAAUGGAAUUCCUGGUGUAGCGGUGGAAUGCGCAGAGAUCGGGAGGAACACCGAUGGCGAAGGCAGGUCUCUGGGCCAUUACUGACACUGAGAAGCGAAAGCAUGGGGAGCGAACAGGG